UGGUUGCUGUCGCUGGUUGCUGUC
rnacentral:siRNA from 1 species